rnacentral:rRNA from 1 species
UACGUAGGGGCCUAGCGUUGUCCGGAUUUAUUGGGCGUAAAGAGCUCGUAGGCGGUUUGGUGAGUCGGGUGUGAAAUCUCCACGCUCAACGUGGAGGGGCCACCCGAUACUGCCAUGACUAGAGUCCGGUAGGGGAGUGUGGAAUUCCACGUGUAGCAGUGAAAUGCGUAGAGAUGUGGAGGAAUACCGAUGGCGAAGGCAGCCCCCUGGGAUAACACUGACGCUCAUGCACGAAAGCGUGGGGAGCAAACAGG